UAUAGUUUGAUUCUGGCUCAGAUUGAACGCUGGCGGCAGGCCUAACACAUGCAAGUCGAGCGGUAGAGAGAAGCUUGCUUCUCUUGAGAGCGGCGGACGGGUGAGUAAUGCCUAGGAAUCUGCCUAGUGGUGGGGGAUAACGUUCGGAAACGGACGCUAAUACCGCAUACGUCCUACGGGAGAAAGCGGGGGACCUUCGGGCCUCGCGCCAUUAGAUGAGCCUAGGUCGGAUUAGCUAGUUGGUGAGGUAAAGGCUCACCAAGGCGACGAUCCGUAACUGGUCUGAGAGGAUGAUCAGUCACACUGGAACUGAGACACGGUCCAGACUCCUACGGGAGGCAGCAGUGGGGAAUAUUGGACAAUGGGCGAAAGCCUGAUCCAGCCAUGCCGCGUGUGUGAAGAAGGUCUUCGGAUUGUAAAGCACUUUAAGUUGGGAGGAAGGGUAGUAACUUAAUACGUGUACUUGACGUACCGCAAAAACAC
rnacentral:rRNA from 1 species